GGUCCAGUGGCGACAAUCAACCUGGGAAGUCAUGGGUUCGAUCCCGCUGGGAGGUAGUUGCUCUUGAGGGACCUUCGGGCCCAAUACGGACACGCCUGCAGACCCGUGGCCACUGGUGGGAUUUACAUGGGGUGAUCACCAGCCCUCCUGGAGGCCUCGGCGGGCUCCCCGGCUUGCUCCGGUGGACGGUCAUUGGUCACUAGUCGGGUCCUCACGAGGUCUCGGAUACCAGGGUCAACAAAAAAAAAAAAAAAAAAAAAAGGACGGUCAUUGGUCACUAGUCGGGUCCUCACGAGGUCUCGGAUACCAGGGUAAAAAAAAAAAAAAAAAAAAAUAAGUAUAUCAACCGAAAAAAUAAUAUGUAAGUUGAGCGAACCAAUAUAGGAGGAAAUAAUCAAUAGUUGGUUUAGUUAAUAAAAAAACUAAAUAAAACCGUGUGAAACAAGGACCGGACAAACAUUGAUUGGGGGAAGACAAAAUAUUUUAAUGAGUUAAAAUUAG
rnacentral:lncRNA from 1 species